rnacentral:rRNA from 1 species
UNANCUANUNGGNGGGGNAACGGGNGCUCAGGCGACGAUCAGUUAGCUGGUCUGAGAGGAUGAUCAGCCACACUGGAACUGAGACACGGUCCAGACUCCUACGGGAGGCAGCAGUGAGGAAUUUUCUGCAAUGGGCGAAAGCCUGACAGAGCAAUACCGCGUGANGGAUGAAGGCCUACGGGUUGUAAACCUCUUUUCUCAAGGAGGAAGAUCUGACGUUACUUGAGGAAUAAGCAUCGGCUAACCCUGUGCCAGCAGCCGCGGUAAUACAGGGGAUGCAAGUGUUAUCCGGAAUUAUUGGGCGUAAAAGCNUCCGAA